GGGUUGUGAGGUUAAGCGACUAAGCGUACACGGUGGAUGCCCUGGCAGUCAGAGGCGAUGAAGGACGUGCUAAUCUGCGAAAAGCGUCGGUAAGGUGAUAUGAACCGUUAUAACCGGCGAUGUCCGAAUGGGGAAACCACGAGGCGAACCGGGGGAACUGAAACAUCUAAGUACCCCGAGGAAAAGAAAUCAACCGAGAUUCCCCCAGUAGCGGCGAGCGAACGGGGAGCAGCCCAGAGUCUGAAUCAGCUUGUGUGUUAGUGGAACGGUCUGGAAAGUCCGACGGUACAGGGUGAUAGUCCCGUACACCAAAAUGCACAGGYUGUGAACUCGAAGAGUAGGGCGGGACACGUGGUAUCCUGUCUGAAUAUGGGGGGACCAUCCUCCAAGGCUAAAUACUCCUGACUGACCGAUAGUGAACCAGUACCGUGAGGGAAAGGCGAAAAGAACCCCGGCGAGGGGAGUGAAAAAGAACCUGAAACCGUGUACGUACAAGCAGUGGGAGCACCUUUAUGGUGUGACUGCGUACCUUUUGUAUAAUGGGUCAGCGACUUAUAUUCUGUAGCAAGGUUAACCGUAUAGGGGAGCCGCAGGGAAACCGAGUCUUAACUGGGCGUUAAGUUGCAGGGUAUAGACCCGAAACCCGGUGAUCUAGCCAUGGGCAGGUUGAAGGUUGGGUAACACUAACUGGAGGACCGAACCGACUAAUGUUGAAAAAUUAGCGGAUGACUUGUGGCUGGGGGUGAAAGGCCAAUCAAACCGGGAGAUAGCUGGUUCUCCCCGAAAGCUAUUUAGGUAGCGCCUCGUGAAYUCAUCUUCGGGGGUAGAGCACUGUUUCGGCUAGGGGGUCAUCCCGACUUACCAACCCGAUGCAAACUACGAAUACCGAAGAAUGUUAUCACGGGAGACACACGGCGGGUGCUAACGUCCGUCGUGAAGAGGGAAACAACCCAGACCGCCAGCUAAGGUCCCAAAGUCAUGGUUAAGUGGGAAACGAUGUGGGAAGGCACAGACAGCCAGGAUGUUGGCUUAGAAGCAGCCAUCAUUUAAAGAAAGCGUAAUAGCUCACUGGUCGAGUCGGCCUGCGCGGAAGAUGUAACGGGGCUAAACCAUGCACCGAAGCUGCGGCAGCGACACUAUGUGUUGUUGGGUAGGGGAGCGUUCUGUAAGCCUGCGAAGGUGACCUGUGAGGGUUGCUGGAGGUAUCAGAAGUGCGAAUGCUGACAUAAGUAACGAUAAAGCGGGUGAAAAGCCCGCUCGCCGGAAGACCAAGGGUUCCUGUCCAACGUUAAUCGGGGCAGGGUGAGUCGACCCCUAAGGCGAGGCCGAAAGGCGUAGUCGAUGGGAAACAGGUUAAUAUUCCUGUACUUGGUGUUACUGCGAAGGGGGGACGGAGAAGGCUAUGUUAGCCGGGCGACGGUUGUCCCGGUUUAAGCAUGUAGGCUGRUUAUCCAGGCAAAUCCGGAUAAUCAAGGCUGAGGUGUGAUGACGAGGCACUACGGUGCUGAAGUAACAAAUGCCCUGCUUCCAGGAAAAGCCUCUAAGCAUCAGGUAACAUCAAAUCGUACCCCAAACCGACACAGGUGGUCAGGUAGAGAAUACCAAGGCGCUUGAGAGAACUCGGGUGAAGGAACUAGGCAAAAUGGUGCCGUAACUUCGGGAGAAGGCACGCUGGUGUGUAGGUGAAGYCCCUGCGGRUGGAGCUGAGACCAGUCGAAGAUACCAGCUGGCUGCAACUGUUUAUUAAAAACACAGCACUGUGCAAACACGAAAGUGGACGUAUACGGUGUGACGCCUGCCCGGUGCCGGAAGGUUAAUUGAUGGGGUUAUCCGUAAGGAGAAGCUCUUGAUCGAAGCCCCGGUAAACGGCGGCCGUAACUAUAACGGUCCUAAGGUAGCGAAAUUCCUUGUCGGGUAAGUUCCGACCUGCACGAAUGGCGUAAUGAUGGCCAGGCUGUCUCCACCCGAGACUCAGUGAAAUUGAACUCGCUGUGAAGAUGCAGUGUACCCGCGGCAAGACGGAAAGACCCCGUGAACCUUUACUAUAGCUUGACACUGAACAUUGAGCCUUGAUGUGUAGGAUAGGUGGGAGGCUUUGAAGCGUGGACGCCAGUCUGCGUGGAGCCAACCUUGAAAUACCACCCUUUAAUGUUUGAUGUUCUAACGUUGGCCCCURAYCGGGGUUGCGGACAGUGUCUGGUGGGUAGUUUGACUGGGGCGGUCUCCUCCCAAAGCGUAACGGAGGAGCACGAAGGUUAGCUAAUCCUGGUCGGACAUCAGGAGGUUAGUGCAAUGGCAUAAGCUAGCUUGACUGCGAGCGUGACGGCGCGAGCAGGUGCGAAAGCAGGUCAUAGUGAUCCGGUGGUUCUGAAUGGAAGGGCCAUCGCUCAACGGAUAAAAGGUACUCCGGGGAUAACAGGCUGAUACCGCCCAAGAGUUCAUAUCGACGGCGGUGUUUGGCACCUCGAUGUCGGCUCAUCACAUCCUGGGGCUGAAGUAGGUCCCAAGGGUAUGGCUGUUCGCCAUUUAAAGUGGUACGCGAGCUGGGUUUAGAACGUCGUGAGACAGUUCGGUCCCUAUCUGCCGUGGGCGCUGGAGAAUUGAGGGGGGCUGCUCCUAGUACGAGAGGACCGGAGUGGACGCAUCACUGGUGUUCGGGUUGUCAUGCCAAUGGCACUGCCCGGUAGCUAAAUGCGGAAGAGAUAAGUGCUGAAAGCAUCUAAGCACGAAACUUGCCCCGAGAUGAGUUCUCCCUGAGACU
rnacentral:rRNA from 1 species